CAUUGAAUGAAUUAGGAAGCC
rnacentral:piRNA from 1 species